rnacentral:rRNA from 1 species
AGAGUUUGAUCCUGGCUCAGGACGAACGCUGGCGGCAUGCCUAAUACAUGCAAGUCGAACGCGGCCAUCCGGUGCUUGCACUGGUGAAGCCGAGUGGCGAACGGGUGAGUAACACGUGAGAAACCUGCCCUGGAGUGGGGAAUAACUCGAAGAAAUUCGAGCUAAUACCGCAUACCUUCUCUUCACCGCAUGGUGAGUUGAAGAAAGAUUUAUCGCUCUAGGAGGGUCUCGCGGCCUAUCAGCUAGUUGGUGAGGUAAUGGCUCACCAAGGCAUCGACGGGUAGCUGGUCUGAGAGGACGAUCAGCCACACUGGGACUGAGACACGGCCCAGACUCCUACGGGAGGCAGCAGUGGGGAAUCUUGCGCAAUGGGCGAAAGCCUGACGCAGCAACGCCGCGUGGGGGAUGAAGGCUCUCGGGUUGUAAACCCCUUUCAGCAGGGACGAAUCAAGACGGUACCUGCAGAAGAAGCCCCGGCUAACUACGUGCCAGCAGCCGCGGUAAUACGUAGGGGGCAAGCGUUGUCCGGAUUUAUUGGGCGUAAAGAGCUCGUAGGUGGCUGAGUAAGUCGGAUGUUAAAUCCCCAGGCUCAACCUGGGACACCACCCGAUACUGCUCUGGCUAGAGUCCGGUAGGGGAGCGUGGAAUUCCUGGUGUAGCGGUGAAAUGCGCAGAUAUCAGGAGGAACACCAGCGGCGAAGGCGGCGCUCUGGGCCGGUACUGACACUGAGGAGCGAAAGCGUGGGUAGCAAACAGGAUUAGAUACCCUGGUAGUCCACGCCGUAAACGUUGGGCACUAGGUGUGGGGUCUAUUCAACGGACUCCGUGCCGUAGCUAACGCAUUAAGUGCCCCGCCUGGGGAGUACGGCCGCAAGGCUA